AAGGAUGGGAAACCUUGAUCACAGAUGCCCCCCGCCGGCCUUCCUUCCACCAGACCAGUGGGAGAGGGACCGCAGGGGCAUCAGGCCUUUCUCAACAUGCGACUCUUAAUUUGGGACGGACAGAACAGCCGUACAGACCAGUAGUUCUCAGCGCCUUUGCUUACCCUGGGUUGCUCAGAAGACUUACUGGUUACUGGUUCCUUCUUCCCUUUUGAAGGACUUAAAGGAGAAGAAGGAAGUUGUGGAAGAGGCAGAAAAUGGAAGAGACGCCCCUGCUAACGGGAAUGCUAAUGAGGAAAAUGGGGAGCAGGAGGCUGACAAUGAGGUAGACGAAGAAGAGGAAGAAGGUGGGGAGGAAGAGGAGGAGGAAGAAGAAGG
rnacentral:lncRNA from 10 species